AGGUGUCAAACUAGAAUUUCUAUAAUUUCAAAACAUUCGAUAACUCUUGUGUAUAAAAGCUUUAGAUGUUGUAGAUUAUGAAUUCAUCGUGGAGUUCCCAACAAUUAACCCAAGAGAGUGAUCAGAGAAAGAUAGGUAUGAAGGGAGUUAUGCUUAUGUUAAUGUUGUUAGUGACUCUUUCUCUAGUUCUGAAGCAUGCCUGCAAGGACUCUCCACUUUCCUUUUCUGCUCCCCAUAUGCCCAUGUCUCUCAAUCCCUUGCCACUACCCGCUCAACUUCUCUCUUUCUCUUCAGAUGAUGAUGGUAUACGCCGCCGAAAGAAGAAAAUUAAAAAGAAAAGGAAAGAACUAGAAGAUUGUAAUAGAGACUGCCAUGAGAAAUUUUACAGGAUGCGAGGACUUGUUGGGCUUGUCCAAGCUUAUAUGGAACUUGAAUUUUGCUGUGAACUUUGCGAACUCAUAGUUGGCUUAUUGUAAUUGUACUAUUAGUUGCAGAGUCCAUGAACACCAAAUUGGAUCUCGCAUGGAUUCUUAGGAUUCCAUAAUAUAAAACAUCAGUUACUUUAUGCAACUUCCAAAGUACUCGUUGUGGGUGGUUGUCGGUGACUCCGUGCGCUUCGAAUUGAAUGUUUGGGGCCGUCCAACGAGGUGGCAGUGGUAGAGACGAGGAAUGUUAUCAUGGUGAUGACGUUUAGUUCUGCACUUCUGCGCGUGCAUGGUAGUCCGAUUUGAUCGUGGAGGAGCCGUGUUAUGGUGGUGCAUUGCGACAACGACGACUAUACGAAAAGCAAAGGCCAUUGUCUGUGGCUGUACGAAGCCGGCCAAUUAUAUUGACUAUUUCUGUAACGGUACAGUUUUGAGCUAGAGUUGAGAGGAAGUUUCGGGAGCUUUGUUUGAAGAUGAUCCUGAGUGGGCUACGUGGCAGCAGUAGAGGGCAUGAACAGUAGAGUGGAAGACAGCUGGAGUCCAUUUUUAAGGAGGAGUGCUGAGGAAGUCUCUCAUUUGAGUUUAUGCGUUUGAUGCUUUGUUAGUUGUCGUUUUGUAAUAAUGCUACUUAGUCGUUUUGUUUGUUUAGGCCUGCGUUUUGUACGUUAUUCUUGAGGCCCAAGUUUGUAAGUCGAUUGGGGCUAGUAUAUAGGGUCUAAACAGCUGUAAAGUGGGGGGAGGCUUUUGAUUGUUUUGAUUCUUGAACCUUGGAGGCUUGGACAUCCUCGAAAUUGUCUAUCAUUUUCAGUUUCAAUCAAUACAACCAUUAUCUUCCAUUUCAA